UACAGAGGUCUCGAGCGUUAGGCGGAAUCACUGGGCUUAAAGCGUGUGUAGGCGGAUCGUUAAGUACCUUGUGAAAUCCCACGGCUUAACCGUGGAACUGCUUGGUAUACUGGCGGUCUUGAGCCAGCUAGGGCUACCGGAACAAAUGGUGGAGCGGUGAAAUGCGUAGAUAUCAUUGGAACGCCAAGUGGUGCAAAACGGUAGCUGGGCUGUGCUGACGCUGAGACACGAAAGCCAGGGGAGCAAACGGG
rnacentral:rRNA from 1 species